GGCACAUUUCCAGCUUGGCACUUAAAUUAAUACAGUUUUAAAAUAUUAGUCUGGAACUUGAGAUCUGGCAGUACCUACCUCUAACUCAGACUUUUUCAUCAGCUUAAGUGAGCUGGCUGGUACCAGUUUCUCACAGCAGGCAACCAGAAGUCAUGGCAGCUCAGGAAAAUCUUAAUUAAAUGGCUUAAGAGUGAGAAUCUCAAUAUCAGAAGGUGCCAGCUCACUGCCACCUCUUCACACCAUGAUCAGGAUCCUCCUCCGCAAGCCCUCCCAGGUGGCACUCUCUAUGCGGAGGCCAUAAGGAUGGUCCAGGCCCACAUUCUCUUUUCCUGAACACUUGGACAUCCCUCAGCUUGUCAUCCUCACAGGUCUUCCUCUUCCUUAGCUGUGUGUUCCUCUGGAGACUGCAGGCACAACUGAAUACUUCACUGUACUGAAAGACACAAUAAACCAUAAGGGCAUUUCCUUUAAAGAAAGAUAAAGCCCAUAUCAACUCAGAAAACAGAAAAACACUUGAGCUUCUUCCUCAAUAUAAACUCUCAGUUUUGCUUUUUACAGACUGAAAAGCCACUACAAGCAGAAAAUCAUA
ensembl:lncRNA